UACGGAGGGGGCUAGCGUUGUUCGGCAUUACUGGGCGUAAAGCGCACGUAGGCGGCUUUGUAAGUUAGAGGUGAAAGCCCAGGGCUUAACCCUGGAAUUGCCUUUAAGACUGCAUCGCUAGAAUCGUGGAGAGGUAAGUGGAAUUCCGAGUGUAGAGGUGAAAUUCGUAGAUAUUCGGAAGAACACCAGUGGCGAAGGCGACUUACUGGACACGUAUUGACGCUGAGGUGCGAAAGCGUGGGGAGCAAACAGG
rnacentral:rRNA from 1 species